rnacentral:lncRNA from 1 species
GGGGCGUAGCUGGGUCCUUUUGAAGUGCACGCCAACCAGGGGGGGGGAGGGGGGGAUUGCCCCCCCCCCCCCCCAAGAUUUUUUUUUGGCUAGACGCAAAAUGGUGCGUUCUGAGGGCCUAAAAUUGGUUUGAAUAGCAAAAUAUUAAGACUGUAUUUAAUAAUUUUUUAUUGAGAAACAUCAAAAAUCUGCCCUUCGUUUUUUAGCUGCAACAAAAACGUUCAUGGCCUUGUCUAAGUUUACCUGAAAAUCACGGUGGAUGUGCAUUAAACCCAAAGCUGACAAUCUGUCAUUUCUCAUUGUGGAACGGAUGUACGUUUUCAAACCUUUCAGUACGCUAGACGACCUUUCAGCUGUAGCACUAGCAACGGACAUUGUUAGAACACACAGUAUUAAUUGUAUCAAUAGACGGAUACAAUGCGGGAUUAACGAUAUCAAGCGUUUGACACAGUGUUGUCGGCACUUUAUCACUAGGUAGGAUUCGACAGCGAGCUCGCCAGCGUUCAACCUCUCUCUUGAAGUCUUGAAUGCGUUGACGCCUUAUUUCGACAGGAAGGUGUCAAAACAGAACAAUAUGAAGUAGCCUUUCAAAAUAUCACAAUAAUUUAAAGAGGGAAUUCAGAUUACCAUGAUUACCGUUAUCGUAAUUUACGUAUAAAAGAGGGGCGAAAGAUACCAAAGGGACAGUCAAACUUGUAUAAAGGUUACUGUAAUUCAUUAAAUUUCAGGUCGGAUCCAAAGUUGCGAGAUAAAAAUGGAACAAAAGUCAAUUGGUUAUGUUUUGCCAAAAUUAUGUACGAAAUUAACAACCCUUAUAUCCAAACAAAGACGUGGGUUUACAACCCCUGCAGCCCUGUUAGUUCCACGAAGCGCAUUAUAUAUUUUUUUUAUUGAAAUAGAGUUAAUAUACCUUGUCAGAAAUUUGAAGGUGUGGACAUCUUUCCAUUUGUCGGUCAAAAGUUGUAAUUUUACAUCUUUUCCUAAGGAUGUCGAAUCUUUCAACAAAGAAAUAUCUGGAUAAGAUGGUCCCAGAUUUUUUUGUACUGUCUUUGACAUUGACACUGAUGUGGCGCUAAAGCUAAGUUCUGACAUCGUCAAUUUGUGACGUUUCAGAGUCUAUAUUGUCCUGAUUUG